rnacentral:rRNA from 1 species
UACGAAGGGGGCUAGCGUUGUUCGGAAUUACUGGGCGUAAAGCGCACGUAGGCGGCUUUGUAAGUUAGAGGUGAAAGCCCGGAGCUCAACUCCGGAAUUGCCUUUAAGACUGCAUCGCUUGAAUCAUGGAGAGGUGAGUGGAAUUCCGAGUGUAGAGGUGAAAUUCGUAGAUAUUCGGAAGAACACCAGUGGCGAAGGCGACUCACUGGACAUGUAUUGACGCUGAGGUGCGAAAGCGUGGGGAGCAAACAGG